rnacentral:rRNA from 1 species
GAUGAACGCUGGCGGCGUGCCUAAUACAUGCAAGUCGAGCGAACGGACGAGAAGCUUGCUUCUCUGAUGUUAGCGGCGGACGGGUGAGUAACACGUGGAUAACCUACCUAUAAGACUGGGAUAACUUCGGGAAACCGGAGCUAAUACCGGAUAAUAUUUUGAACCGCAUGGUUCAAAAGUGAAAGACGGUCUUGCUGUCACUUAUGGCUGGAUCCGCGCUUCAUUAGCUAGUUGGUAGGGUAGCGGCUUACCAAGGCAACGAUGCGUAGCCGACCUGAGAGGGUGAACGGCGACAUUGGGACUGAGGUACGGGCAAGACUCCGACGGGAGGCAGCAGUGGGGAAUAUGGCACAAUGGGCGGAAGCCUGAGGCAGAAACGCCGGGUGCGGGAUGACGGCCUUCGGGUUGUAAACCGCUUUCGCCUGUGACGAAGCGUGAGUGACGGUAAUGGGUAAAGAAGCAACGGCUAACUACGUG